AGUCCAUGAUGGGGACUUAACGUCAACAUUUCCUUAAAUUGCACCCAUGCUUCGUAGAGAUAUUCCCCAUCCUUUUGAAUAAAACUAGUUAUUUGAUUUCUUAGUUG